UGAAGCCAUGAUGAGGGCAUUG
rnacentral:siRNA from 1 species